GUCAUGAUGUUUGUUGCAGGAA
rnacentral:misc_RNA from 1 species